CACCUGUCUGAACACACCAGGCACAGUACAGUGUACAGUAGCAGUGAGCUAGUUGCAGGCAGACAAGCUUGGUACUCACUCAGUCUGUACGGUGCGGCCGGGGAAUGUCAGCAGGACUGGGGUGUCCGUUAUAGUGAGGUUUCUGCUACUGCCAGGGCUGCAUGUCGUGGGAACUGAAAUGUCGAGAAGGUGAAUGCAGUUUCAUGUCGUAUACGGCGGUUAUUCUGGCAUAUCCGGACAGGCUAAAUAUAAUAACGUCUGAAAGAGUCAACACUGUUAAGCGUGACAAUAUUCACGGCGAAACGAACCAGUGGUCGACAGCAUGAGCACCAUCCUACGCCGUCGGGUCAGGAUGACACAGUCGUAGAGGUCACAAGUCGUAACCACCCGAGCCCAUAUCAAGGGACGACAAGGAGAGGACAUAUUCUGCCCCGAGGUUUCUCAAUGGACUUUGCUUGAGGUCGCCGAAAUAAAGUCAUUCCACGCUUGCUGUCA